CCUACGGGUGGCAGCAGUGAGGAAUAUUGGUCAAUGGGCGCAAGCCUGAACCAGCCAAGCAGCGUGAAGGAUGACUGCCCUACGGGUUGUAAACUGCUUUUAUAAAGGAAUAAAGCGCGGUACGUGUGGCUUUUUGCAUGUACCUUAUGAAUAAGGAUCGGCUAACUCCGUGCCAGCAGCCGCGGUAAUACGGAGGAUCCGAGCGUUAUCCGGAUUUAUUGGGGUUAAAGGGUGCGUAGGCGGGUUGUUAAGUCAGAUGUGAAAGUUUGGGGUUCAACCGUGGAAUUGCAAGUGAUACUGGCGGGCUUGAGUUGAGUAGAGGUAGGCGGAAUUCGGGGUGUAGCGGUGAAAUGCAUAGAUAUAACGAAGAACUCCGAUUGCGAAGGCAGCUUACUAAACUACAACUGACGUUGAUGCUCGAAAGUGUGGGUAUCAAACAGGAUUAGAUACCCGAGUAGUC
rnacentral:rRNA from 1 species